AUUGAACGCUGGCGGCAGGCCUAACACAUGCAAGUCGAGCGAGCGGCGGACGGGUGAGUAAUGUAUGGGGACUGCCCGCUAGAGGGGGAUAACUACUGGAAACGGUGGCUAAUACCGCAUACUAUCGGAUGACCCAGCUGGGAUUAGCUAGUAGGUGGGGUAAAGGCUCACCUAGGCGACGAUCUCUGGCUGGUCGGAGAGGAUGAUCAGCCACACUGGGACUGGGACCCGGCCCAGAGUCCUACGGAGGCAGGAGGGGGGAAUAUGGCACAAUGGGCGCAAGGCGGAUGCAGCAAGGCCGCGUGUAUGAAGAAGGCCUUAGGGUUGCAAAUUACUUUCAGCGGGGAGGCGGUACCCGCAGAAGAAGCACCGGCUAACUACGUGCCAGCAGCCGCGGUAAUUC
rnacentral:rRNA from 1 species